AAGAAACGUGGGUUCGAUCCUUGGGUCAGGAAGAUCCCCUGUAGUAGGAAAUAGCAACCUACUCCAGUAUUCUUGCCUGGAAAAUCCCAUGGACAGAGGAGCUAGGCGGGUUGCAGUCCAUGGGGUUGCAAAGAGUCGGACACAACCAGGCGACUAAGCAUAACGACAAGGAGUAACUUCAUUUUGGCUUUAGCAUCGCCAUCCGCCAAAUAGCUGUGAAGGAGCUGGAUUCCUUGGUCACUGAAUUUCCUCCCAGAGGCUGCCCAGGAGAGAGUUGUAGUCUCCUGGUGGCCAUAGAGGGCAGAGAGAAGCCGAGGAAAGCAUCCAAUGGUCUCGUAUCUGCCAAGGCUCCAUGGAAACCACGUCUCAGCUCUGGGUCGGAUACUCCCUCUGGAGCAAAAUUGAAAGCUGAACUGUGCUCAGAGACUCUGCUGGCAGUGAAAACACCAGAGUGCGAAGUGAAAAAUCUAUGAUCUCCCCACCACCUUCUCCGAUGAGUGGGCCUCACCGGCCACAGCAUGGAUUCAUUUGAGUGCUGUCUUCUCUUGGCAUUUUGGGUUGAGUUUUCCAGGACACAAAGGCAUGAGAUGUUCCAGGAUCUCGAUCAUUUUUAUGGCCAGUGGGGAGGUAGAUGAGAAUAAAUAAUUGGAUCCAGUGUCCUGUGGAACAAAUGAAAUGGGAAAAUGCUCACGGUCAAGUUCUGGUUCAAAGUGACUGGCUCUUAGAUACGCAAGAAAUUUGGCCUCCCUUAAAAUACGCAAUGAGGAUGGAGCCUCCAGGAUUGAGUCUUAAAAGUGAGUCUUUCACAGGUUUCAGGAAGCAUUCAGUGCUUCCCAUUACCACCCAGCACUCAAGAGACAGUGUCAUCUAAAAAUCUGAGUUACAAAGUAGGGGCUGAGAUUGGAAAUAAAAUACAUACAUGAGUUAUGCUAUGAUGAGGGGAUUCCUGGGUAAUUUUUUCCUUUUCUCUAUUUUCCUAGGUUCCUGUAUGCCAUUAAAAAAAAGACACAACCCCCUUUCCUUUUUAGAAAGUCAGCCAUGCAAACACCGAGUUAAAAUUUGGGCAUUCAUUCUUGAGGCCUUUCUUCUCCUUAAAUGCCUCAAUCCGUGCAUCCUCUCUUCUCUAUCUCCGCCUUCUGGCCCUUAGCGCAGGCAUUUGGGGCCAUUUCAGUGCUCUUUUGAGCACUGACAUCCUCCCCUACGUGGCUUCCCCAUGACUGGACUCUCUCUUCAUGCAGUCCACCCUCCAACGGCAGUCAGAGCAACUUUCUAAAAUAGAAACCCUGUCACGUCACAUUCCUGCUCAACCUCUUCAAUAGUUUUUCAUUGCCUCCAGGAGACAAUUUAAAUUCCUUUCCAUAACACCCGGGGCUCUUCAGAACGAAACCUGCCAAGCUCUUCCUUGCUCCUUCCCCAGCAGCUCUUCCCCCAACCACUGCUUCUUCAGGCCCCGGGGUCACUCAUUCCAGCCAAAAGCCUUUAUUCCAGCCAUUCCCUUUGCCUGAAAUGCCCCCACCUCCCACCAAUACAGCCUCCCAGGCUCCACAAAGCCCAAGCAUCCUACCCUUGUCCACCCAAGGAAACGCUGCUGGCCAUACACAUGGCCUUGACACUGACCCUGUCCAUGUCACAGCACUGCACACGGGGCUUUGGAGCUGUGCCCCCUGCAUUUGUCUCUCUUACUAGACUGUGGGCUCCAGAAGGGCAGGGACCUGGUUUGAUUUAUUUCUGGAUCCUCAGCACAUGGCUUCUGCAGCGCCCAGAGCAGGGGAGAUGUUCAGUAAAUAUUGUUGAUUUCAGAAAAGGAGGAUUAAGUCAAGGAAUUAAAAUGUGGCUUCCUGCCAUACUUGUCAUAUUAUUUAGAACUGUAUCAUCU
ensembl:lncRNA